GAUGAACGCUGGCGGCGUGCCUAAUACAUGCCAGUCGAGCGAACGGACGAGAAGCUUGCUUCUCUGAUGUUAGCGGCGGACGGGUGAGUAACACGUGGAUAACCUACCUAUAAGACUGGGAUAACUUCGGGAAACCGGAGCUAAUACCGGAUAAUAUUUUGAACCGCAUGAUUCAAAAGUGAAAGACGGUCUUGCUGUCACUUAUAGAUGGAUCCGCGCUGCAUUAGCUAGUUGGUAAGGUAACGGCUUACCAAGGCAACGAUGCAUAGCCGACCUGAGAGGGUGAUCGGCCACACUGGAACUGAGACACGGUCCAGACUCCUACGGGAGGCAGCAGUAGGGAAUCUUCCGCAAUGGGCGAAAGCCUGACGGAGCAACGCCGCGUGAGUGAUGAAGGUCUUCGGAUCGUAAAACUCUGUUAUUAGGGAAGAACAUAUGUGUAAGUAACUGUGCACAUCUUGACGGUACCUAAUCAGAAAGCCACGGCUAACUACGUG
rnacentral:rRNA from 1 species